rnacentral:rRNA from 1 species
GGGAACAUACCCUUUUCUAUGGAAUAGCUCUGGGAAACUGGAAUUAAUACCGUAUACGCCCUACGGGGGAAAGAUUUAUCGGGGAAGGAUUGGCCCGCGUUGGAUUAGCUAGUUGGUGGGGUAAAGGCCUACCAAGGCGACGAUCCAUAGCUGGUCUGAGAGGAUGAUCAGCCACAUUGGGACUGAGACACGGCCCAAACUCCUACGGGAGGCAGCAGUGGGGAAUAUUGGACAAUGGGCGCAAGCCUGAUCCAGCCAUGCCGCGUGAGUGAUGAAGGCCUUAGGGUUGUAAAGCUCUUUCACCGAUGAAGAUAAUGACGGUAGUCGGAGAAGAAGCCCCGGCUAACUUCGUGCCAGCAGCCGCGGUAAUACGAAGGGGGCUAGCGUUGUUCGGAAUUACUGGGCGUAAAGCGCACGUAGGCGGAUAUUUAAGUCAGGGGUGAAAUCCCAGAGCUCAACUCUGGAACUGCCUUUGAUACUGGGUAUCUUGAGUAUGGAAGAGGUAAGUGGAAUUGCGAGU